rnacentral:lncRNA from 1 species
UUCCCUUGCAAGUGUGGUCCUAGGAGAGGACCUGGCAUACCUUAGGUUGAAACUCAGAAAACCUCAAGACAUCACCAUCAACAGGUUCCAACCGAACACUAGUUCAUGUAAUUUUAAACAUCUAGCAGUAAAUACUUGCAGUUGUGACAUAAAGGACCCUGUUUCUGUAGAAAAGAAAACAUUUAACAUAAUGGUUGUGAAAUGUAACAUGAAGCAACUAACUUGUAUUUUUUUGUUUGUUUUGUUUUAAAACAGCUUUUUAAAAAUAGAAUGAUAGAACUUUGUCAGUCUAAAAUGUUGGCUUAAUUUAAUAUAUUAAUUUGUCCAUUUAGAAAUAACACCAACAUUUAGAAAUGCUAUGGGGAUGGAUUGCAUUUUUUUGUAACAAAAUUUUUUUUUUUAAAGUUUGGUAUUAUAAAACAUUCAAGUGUCUCUGUCCCUUAAAAUUGAUAAUCAUGUUUAAAGUGCAGUCAUUUGUGGUUAUAAUUUUGUGUUGCUUGCUUCCAUUACUUAAUUCCUCCUAAGGAAAUUGAAGAGAGGGAUUGGAUGGAAGCCCAAAUUUAUAUAAAGAUUCCAUUUAAGUUGUAUUAAAAAUAGUCAUACAAAAAGAAAAAAAAAAAAAAAAAAGCCUUUCACUUGAUGUUGGGUAGACCAUAAAGUGCAUGUGUUCUGUUGCCCUUGGAACUGCUCAGUUCCCAGACAGCUUUGCAGUUAGUGGAGGAGGUGGCUUAAAUGCAACACUUGGGCAUUCGUACUGCACACACAGGGAGUCUCUGGGCUCCUGCCUUUUGGAGCAGGUGGCUUUUAAGGAACUCUGGCAGGGUAUGUGGGCUCCAAAGUAGAUGUUUCUUUUCAUCACUUGUUCCACUGUGUUGACACUGUUUUCCUUACCUAUUUCCCCUAAUUCCCAGCUUUCUCCUCUGCUAUGCAGUUUCUUCACAGAGCAGCUUGCGGUCCGUUGCUGAAAAUUAUUAUAAAGCUCUGCAUAGUGUUAAGCUUUAUUGUGAUUAAGUGUAUUUUUUUUUUUUAAUGUAAGCAGACUCACACCUUUCCAGGGUCAAAGUACAGGAUAGAAUACAAACUUAUUUUUAUCCAUGUCUUUUACUCUGUGUAAAGAUUUUAAAAGUCAAAUCCAAAGGCAGGCCAACACCGAAUUGAGUGUAAUUUGAACACAGGCUAAAAGUAUUUAUGGGAGGAGUGAUAUAUAGCAUGAGUUACCUGAUUUUUGUGGAAUAUUUUAAGUUUUCAUUUUCAAUUCAUGUAACGGUUGUCUUACAUUACAUAAUAAAACAGCCCUGUUCAAUUUUUUUUUUUUUUUUUAAUGUGGCUUGAAGAAUUUUUUUGAAAAGUGAAUUUAGGUGUUUUUUUUUUCCAUGUGGAAUGCAGAUGGGUGCUAUCAGAGCCUCUCCCCCAUCACUAUGGUACAAUAAUAUCACCAUUACACCACACUGAAAUGUAUUCAGAAAGAUGUUUCAGCUUUAUUCUUCAGAAGUGUUUCAGUCAUACUGAUGAUACUGUUCUUUGCACUGAAUAUAUAAACACUAUAUAAACACUCCACAGUGUUUAUAUUAGGGAGAUGUUGGGGAGGAACUAUAUUUGUAAAAGAGGAAGGUUGUAUCCAUUUACUUUAUCCCCCACCCCCCAUAUACACAGUGAUUCACUUAAAUUCUUUUGAGGGUGGGAUGCAUUUUUCUUCCUGUUGAGUGCUUUACCUUCUUAUCUGUUGUUCUUUGGUCACGGUGACCUUAGCUAUGUAGCAGACUUUCCCAAAUGUAUUGAGUUCAAAUAAACAGUUACUUAGCAAGACCUGAAAAUAUGUCUGCAGAUUUCUCCUUGCAGUAAAUGAGUGGGGAUCAUUGGAUUUCCAGAAAUCUGCCACCUUCAUUCUCUAUUGACAUUGUAUUUCAUGCCUACUUCCUUCUUCCCACUGAGCUAAAAAAUGACAGGUUUAAAUCGUUAGUGUUGAUUGCCAUUACAGGAUUAUUCAGCAAAAUUUCUUCAAAAUUCCUUUUGUCCCCCCCCCUUCAGUUUUUGAAGGUGCAGCUUCCUGGUUGAAUGUCUGGCACAUUAAUGAAUGACCAACAGUUUUCAGCUCUUAAAAAGGCACUUAUAUUUGGAUUUUCUGGUUACCCGUCCCAUUGUUGUAAACUGCCCACUCUAUCAGAUGUAUUCCUCCAUUUUUCUUAUCCACAAAGUACUCUUCACCUUUUUCAAACUGUCAUGUUACUAAAUGGUGUUACAUUAAAGUCCCUGUGUUAAGUGUCUGCUUUUGACUCAACUUCUUCAUAAUAACCUGUUUCAGUAGUGGGUUAAUUGUUCUUUCAUUGGUUACUAUGUGGGAAUUUGCUAAUAUAUGGAAAUUGUUAUGAACAGUGAAAUAAUUAUGAAUUUGAUCCAAUCUUAUUUUUAUUUAGCUCUUGCCUCUUCCAAUUGUGGUUCAGUAGUUUCUGUUGUAAAAGGAGGCGGUGCUACUGGUAAUUUAUAGAUAAUCUUUUAAGAUUUAUGGGGGCCCGUUAAACUUAAAUUUUUAUUAGAAAAUAAUCGUUCUUCAGAAUCAGACUCCAUAGUUAAAAUACUCUUGGCAUAACUUUAG